CAGUAGCCGCGGUAAUACGUAGGUGGCAAGCGUUGUCCGGAAUUAUUGGGCGUAAAGGGCUCGCAGGCGGUUUCUUAAGUCUGAUGUGAAAGCCCCCGGCUCAACCGGGGAGGGUCAUUGGGAACUGGGAAACUUGAGUGCAGAAGAGGAGAGUGGAAUUCCACGUGUAGCGGUGAAAUGCGUAGAGAUGUGGAGGAACACCAGUGGCGAAGGCGACUCUCUGGUCUGUAACUGACGCUGAGGAGCGAAAGCGUGGGGAGCGAACAGGAUUAGAGACCCCGGUAGUCCCUGUCUCUUAUAC
rnacentral:rRNA from 1 species